AGCCCAACAGCUAGCCUCUUAACCUAAACUCAAAAAUUUUAUAUACAUAAACCCCUAUAAACUAACCCCACAAAUCAAAUCAUUUUUCCACCUAAGUAUGUGCGACAGAAAAGGAAAACAUGAGCGCGAUAGAAAAAGUACCGCAAGGGAAUGCUGAAAGAGAAGUGAAAGAACUCAGUUAAGCAUAAAAAAGCAGAGCCUAAUACUCGUACCUUUUGCAUCAUGAAUUAGCAAGUCCCCUCAAGCAAAAAGUUUUUUAGUUUGAAACCCCGAAACUUGACGAGCUACUCCAAGGCAGCCUAAUAAUAGGGCGAACCCGUCUCUGUGGCAAAAGAGUGGGAGGAACUUUGAGUAGAGGUGACAGACCUACCGAGUCAAGUUAUAGCUGGUUGCCUGGGAAAUAAAUAGAAGUUUAGCCUUUUUCCUUCUCCUAUCAACUCUGGCCUGCCCUAAGCCCAGAAAGCGAGAAUGCUAAAAGAGUUAUUCGAAGGGGGUACAGCCCCUUUGAAAAAAGAUACAACUUUAGCAGGUGGAUUCCAAACAAAUUUUUAAAGGUAAAUAUUUUGGUGGGCCUAAAAGCAGCCAUCCUGAAAGAAAGCGUUAAAGCUCAAAUAUACAAAUUACCCUUUAUCCCGUUAGUAUUUUUGCAUUCCCCUUACCUUACCAAGCCAUCCUAUCCCCAAUAGGAAAGAUCAUGCUAAUAUGAGUAAUAAGAGAAUAUGAUUCUCUCCAAGCACAUGUGUAAAUCAGAACGGACCCACCCCCGAGAAUUAACGGACCUAACCCAAGAAGGAACUAGAGUAAAAACUGAUAACAAGAAGAGCCUCUACAACUUUACCGUUAACCCUACACUGGUGUGCCAACCAGGAAAGACUAAAAAGAGAAGAAGGAACUCGGCAAAUUAUGCUCAAGCCUCGCCUGUUUACCAAAAACAUCGCCUCUCGACAACUACAUAUGAGAGGUCCCGCCUGCCCUGUGACUAAUGUUUAACGGCCGCGGUAUCUUGACCGUGCAAAGGUAGCGCAAUCACUUGUCUUUUAAAUGAAGACCUGUAUGAAUGGCUAAACGAGGGCUUAACUGUCUCCUUCUCUAGGUCAAUGAAAUUGAUCUCCCCGUGCAGAAGCGGGGAUACCAACAUAAGACGAGAAGACCCUAUGGAGCUUUAGACACAAUGACAGAUCAUGU
rnacentral:rRNA from 1 species